rnacentral:rRNA from 1 species
GACGAACGCUGGCGGCGUGCCUAAUACAUGCAAGUCGAACGAACCGCGACUGAGUGCUUGCACUUGGUCAAGGUGAGUGGCGAACGGGUGAGUAACACGUGGGUAACCUACCUCAUAGUGGGGGAUAACAGUCGGAAACGACUGCUAAUACCGCAUAGGACAUGGAAUCACAUGAUUCUGUGAGGAAAGGUGGCGCAAGCUAUCGCUAAGAGAUGGACCCGCGGUGCAUUAGCUAGUUGGUAGGGUAAGGGCCUACCAAGGCGAUGAUGCAUAGCCGACCUGAGAGGGUGAUCGGCCACAUUGGGACUGAGACACGGCCCAAACUCCUACGGGAGGCAGCAGUAGGGAAUCUUCCGCAAUGGACGCAAGUCUGACGGAGCAACGCCGCGUGAGUGAAGAAGGUCUUCGGAUCGUAAAGCUCUGUUGUUAGAGAAGAACAGCGCAUAGAGUAACUGUUAUGCGUGUGACGGUAUCUAAACAGAAAGCCACGGCUAACUACGUG